rnacentral:rRNA from 1 species
UACGUAGGUGGCAAGCGUUGUCCGGAAUUAUUGGGCGUAAAGCGCGCGCAGGUGGUUUCUUAAGUCUGAUGUGAAAGCCCACGGCUCAACCGUGGAGGGUCAUUGGAAACUGGGGGACUUGAGUGCAGGAGAGAAGAGUGGAAUUCCACGUGUAGCGGUGAAAUGCGUAGAGAUGUGGAGGAACACCAGUGGCGAAGGCGACUCUUUGGUCUGUAACUGACGCUGAGGCGCGAAAGCGUGGGGAGCAAACAGG